rnacentral:lncRNA from 1 species
ACAGUUUAGAGUAGGUCCAGUAUUCUUAAUGGUAUUGUAGAAGAACAGUAAUCUGUGGUCUAACUGUGGGUUUGUCUGCUGCAGUAUCGUAACACCAACUAAUUGAGUGUCUUACCAAGGCACAUCACCUCUGUAAGCUUCCACUGUAACAGCUUUUAAAUUGCAUACUUUCCUUUUCCUUAAUGAGAGUGAGUGGGUGAAGAAGAGGAGGCAGUCAAAAUGAAUAUCUGUGGCGCCAGGAGUUGUAUGUCACUGUCUGUGAGGGAGAUGUCUCAGUUUGUAAAAGGCUCCUUGUUCAGUGAACUCUGGAAAUUGGGAGGGGAACAAGCUACUGCUUUGUUUUCUGUUUACACCCUGACAUUUAUAAACAAGCGAAAAAUGCAGCCCACUUGUGGAAUAGACAGUAUUCUGCUACUUGGCAAGAAAUAACCCAGUUCAUCAUGAAGACAUGGUAAUAACGUGAGCCAAAUUUCACUCAGACUGCCCUGAAUGUUAACACCUGCAG